CUCUUAUCGAGAGCGACUGAGGGAAAAGGCCCGAUGAAGUCCAGCAACCCCUUGAAUGAAACAAGGAAGGUGCCAAAUCCUGCAGAAUGGUUUUCCAUCUGAGAGAUAAGCU
rnacentral:ncRNA from 2 species